rnacentral:lncRNA from 1 species
CAAAACACAUUUUUAUUCACUGACAUACCAAAACACAUUUUUAUUCAAAUUUGAAAACAACUGACAUAUCAUCCAGUGCUUUCUUAACUCAGUUGCAACAAGACAAUCAUUACAAUCAUUACAAUAACUUAACAAGACAAUGAAAACAGUCAUUACAGUUAGGGUAGCAGAGUACACAAUCAUUACAAUCACUUGACAAGUGCCAUGACCGACACUACCAAGGCUAGCCCACAAAAGAACACGAUGAUAUUGACGAUGUGUUUAAGAUUUGCCACAUUGAUUUCAAUGACUCCAAGUCGAGAUGCGCAGAUGCACGUGUGCUUCAACAACGGAAUUGGGUUUGUCAUACCCAAUUAGAUUGCACCAGUCCCAAAACUUACAUUUUCCUUUGUCCUUCUCCCUUGGACAGUCAUAGUAGAGUUUUCCAAGAUUUUUCUCUGAUUCAGAUAUUCUCACAGUAGCUCUCAAGCGACAAUAACACAUCUUGUUUCGAAAUUGGGUAUCAUGAAUUUGAAUGCUCAUGUUGCUUGAAGUAAACAUGCAUUUGUUGAACCUUAUCUGCCAAAACCACCAUAAGAUUGCAAUGUUUUAGAGACAUUCCACAGUUGGUAAUCCACAGAUCAUUAGAGUCACACAUGAACAAAAAUAGUUUAGUGUUACAGUUAUUUUUAGGAGAUAUGUUAGCCAAACUAUAUUACAUUACAAAACAACUGCUUGAUUCUCCAUGCAUAAAAGAACUGUUGUAGCAGCUAUUUGCUGCACGCCGCUGCUGAUUCUAGCUGCUGCCAGUGGGCAGCAACCCUUUCUUUUGACUCCUUACUUUAUUACACCUUAAACCCCAUAUUUUUAGCUUAUUUUAAUUAUGUUAUGGAUAUCACCCAAUAGCUAUAGUAUAAGAGUAUAGCUGGGCAACUUAGAGGUUUAACCAUCCAAAAAUUUCAUUUCUCUCUUUUUUUAAACUUUGAUCCAUAGGUUAGUUUACACCCAAUUCUAGAUAUAAUAUACAUAGUGUAUGGAAGUAUUUUGAGCUUAUAUAACCCCUCCAUUUCAGUCUUACUAUGCUGCCCAAAACAGAGUUUCCAAAUGACUUGACAUACUAAGUCUAACUUUUCAUUGUUAACUAGAAAUUGAGUUUCGUUCUAGCUUGACACACUCAAACCCUCUAGUUAACAUCACAUAUGAUUAAUAAAUCAAGCCCAAGCUUUACUUUGGUCUAAUAUUUAGUUUUCAAUCAAAACAGUUCUUUUAGAACUUUUAUCAAACAGUUGGUAGGCACAAUUUUAGGCUAUCAAUUUCACAACCAUUGGUUUAUAUCAUGAACCCAUUAUAUCCUCCUUAUUACUCCUCAACCCAACCUAUCUCCUUAGUUUCUAUCACUAUGACAUAAAAGUUUAACAUGAUCUACCUAAUAUAACAAUAGUAGUUUAUAAUAGUAAUUCCUAAAGACCCUAUAGAAUCAUAAAUACAAAAGAUUAUAAGGGUUGGGCAAAUAUUAUAUACAAAGAAGCCAAUGAAGCAAGAUUCAUGUUCCUUAAAAUACUCAAACAACAUAUUAACGUCAUGUCCCUUUAAAGCACUCCUCUUAUCUCUUUCAGCAUUAUAAAGAUCUCGUGUUGUACAUCCAACAUUUUCAAGACCUCCAGCUUCCAUCUCUAAAAUACUCAUUUGUUGCCAUGUUGGCACAUUAACUUUUGAUAGUUAUUCUGUUAAAUUUCUUUUGACAAGUGUGACUACACGAUGAGAGUGCAACAAAUGUACUUUUCUUGGGGUCAUAAGAGGAUGGUUAUGACCCUCAACAAAUUGUCUAAUAACAAACCCCCUCGCAUCGGUCUGGUCUUUCAUAACUACCACUCUCGCACCACAAUCAGCUCUAGUUAGGCCCCGUUUUCAUACAAUCUGUUGAGUUUUGUUGGGCACAAUUCUCCUCAACCCUUCUUUAUAACAAACAAUUUUUUUUUUCUAAUUAUUUCACCGUUAGGACUCUUCUUACUAGAAUUUAACCGCGUACUAAAUCCACCUUCUCUACCAUAGUUGUUAUAAAAGUCGCGAACAUCGCCUAAGUUGUGAAAAUGUUUCCCAAUUUUUGGUAUCAACUCGUUUUUAACUUGCGGAGUGUAAAGUUAUUGAGAAGAAUUACCAGAUGAUGCCAUUUCUGUCUCUUCUACACAAUGCUGCAUUCUUCAAACCCAACAAGUAUACAACUUAGAAUCAAAAUCAAGCAUAUAUCAGAAAUACAUACAUAUAUAUAUAUAUAUACAUAUAUGAGUUAAAAAACACACACAAGUAAUAAUCCUGAGGAAUGAACACUAGCCUCUGCUAAAUCAAUUUAUACUAGUGUUCAUGCCAUUGCCACAAAUGCAAGCAAAAGACUCCUUCAAACCAGCAAUCAGUUUAUUUUCAUUCGAGAUAACCCAAUUGAAAAUUAACUAUUAACCCACAAAGCUCUAACCUUAUAGUCAAUCAAUUAAAUUCUAUGGACAGAACCCAGUUGAAAAUUCACUACUAACCAUAAAGUUUUAACCUUUACUCAAUCAAUUAAAUAUUUAUACUGAACCAAAUUAAAUUUCUAUCACUAUGACAUAAAAGUUUAACAUGAUCUACCUAAUAUAACAAUAGUAGUUUAUAAUAGUAAUUGCUAAAGACCCUGCAGAAUCAUAAAUACAAAAAAUUAUAAGGGUUGGGCAAAUAUUAUACAAAAAGAAGCCAAUGCAGCAAGAUUCAUAUACAAAAAGUACAAAAACCCUAAACCCUUACCCGUUCGUGCUCAACUUCGGCCGUAAUCUUGGGAGACAGACAUAGAAAAUCAGUUUGUGAAGAACUUCGGUCGGAAUCUUGGGAGACAGCGAUAGAGGGAAUUAGUUCGUGUUUAGCUUCAACCAGAAUCUCUUUGUGACAGAGAUGCGAUGAUUUCGUCCGGAACUUUGUGAAAGAGAGACGCGAUGAUUUUGUGAAGAAAUGGACUCCAAAUAUUCUAAACCCG